rnacentral:rRNA from 1 species
GGGACGAACGCUGGCGGUGUGCUUCACACAUGCAAGUCGAACGAGGUAGCAAUACCUAGUGGCGGACGGGUGAGUAACGCGUGGGAAUCUGCCCAUAGGUGGGGGAUAACUAGCCGAAAGGUUAGCUAAUACCGCAUAUGCCGAGAGGUAAAAGGAGUAAUCCGCCUUUGGAUGAGCCCGCGUCCGAUUAGCUAGUUGGUAGGGUAAAAGCCUACCAAGGCUACGAUCGGUAGCUGGUCUGAGAGGAUGAUCAGCCACAAUGGGACUGAGACACGGCCCAUACUCCUACGGGAGGCAGCAGUGGGGAAUUUUACGCAAUGGGGGAAACCCUGACGUAGCGACACCGCGUGAACGAAGAAGCCCUUUGGGGUGUAAAGUUCUGUCGGCUGGAACGAAAAAAAUGACGGUACCAGCAAAGGAAGCAUCGGCUAACUACGUG